rnacentral:misc_RNA from 1 species
AAAGUCGUAACAAGGUUUCCGUAGGUGAACCUGCGGAAGGAUCAUUAACACGUAUCCACGUUAUAAACCAACUUUACCACGAACGUUUCUCCCCUUAUUGACGACUUCUUCGUGUUCAACUGAUUUCUCAUGGGUUACUUUCGGGUAGCAGAUCAGGCUGAACUAUUCAUCCUUGAGAUGAUGCGAAGAGACUGACAAUUUGGGCUUUCUCAUCACUCUAUUAACCAUCCAUUUGGGUUGGUAGUUUGAUACCCAUACCAUUUUCACCACAUUUAGCAAGUGUUGGCAUUUUUACAUUCUUGGAGAGAAAUCUCUAUGGAAUUCUAAGAUUUAUCUUAACUAAGCACAACUCUUAGCAAUGGAUAUCUUGGUUCUC